GAUGAACGCUAGCUACAGGCCUAACACAUGCAAGUCGAGGGGUAACGAGAGGAAAGCUUGCUUUCCUUGUCGACGACCGGCGCACGGGUGAGUAACGCGUAUCCAACCUGCCCCCAACUAGGGAAUAACAUUGCGAAAGUAAGACUAAUACCCUAUAAUUUCCUCAGAUGUCAUCUGACGAGGAAUAAAGAUUUAUCGGUUGUGGAUGGGGAUGCGUCUGAUUAGCUUGUUGGCGGGGUAACGGCCCACCAAUGCAACGAUCAGUAGGGGUUCUGAGAGGAAGGUACCCCACAUUGGGAGUGAGACACGCUCCACACUCCUACGGGAGGCAGCAGUGAGGAAUAUUAGUCAAUGGGCGGAAGCCUGAACCAGCCAAGUAGCGUGCAGGAUGACGGCCCUAUGGGUUGUAAACUGCUUUUAUACAGGAAUAAAGUUAGCCACGUGUGGUUAUUUGUAGGUACUGUAUGAAUAAGGACCGGCUAAUUCCGUGCCAGCCGCCGCCGUAA
rnacentral:rRNA from 1 species